rnacentral:miRNA from 1 species
UCAAUGCACCGCGUUGGCUCCA